rnacentral:rRNA from 1 species
GUAACACGUAUCCAACCUGCCGUCUACUCUUGGACAGCCUUCUGAAAGGAAGAUUAAUACAAGAUGGCAUCAUGAGUCCGCAUGUUCACAUGAUUAAAGGUAUUCCGGUAGACGAUGGGGAUGCGUUCCAUUAGAUAGUAGGCGGGGUAACGGCCCACCUAGUCUUCGAUGGAUAGGGGUUCUGAGAGGAAGGUCCCCCACAUUGGAACUGAGACACGGUCCAGACUCCUACGGGAGGCAGCAUG